UCGAUGCGGUAAAAAUGAGUUCGCACAAUAAUAAUAUGUUGAGUGAAAAAUUAAAAGCACUACGGGUUAUAAAUGGUUAUACAUUUCGCUUUUAUCGUACAAUAGUGAAUAACGUGUUAUGAUGGUGAACAAAAUACAACACAUAAUCACGAACCAGGUGAUCAAUGAUCAGUGAUCACCAAUCAAUGUUACGGCAAAAGGUUAUUAACAGUGUCAAACGUAAGGCAGUGGAGCAGUUGAGCGAGCGUCCCUCCAAAAUUAUUCAUUCUGAGAUGUCAAGUAUAAUACUCAGUGUACUGGACUCAAAUGACACCACAUUGAUUAGAAAAUGUAUACACACUGCUCGAAUGAAUAUUCACCCGAAGUUGCAACGUGACUUUCCACAAUUAAAUUUGACGCUUCCUAACGUAAUAAAUAAAAUGCGAACCAAAAAUAAUUAAAAAUGGAUUUGUAUAAACGAUGUUUAGAACAAUAUAAUAUGCAAGUAUUCAAUUAAAAUUAAAAUUACAAUGUGUCCAUAAUAUUGUUAGGCGUGUGGACAGGGGUGUCAUCAGAAUGUGCAGCUGCCGUUCUUACAUAGUUUGAGACCAUUGCCUCACUUCAUUACUUUUAGCGAAACAUUAAACAAACAAUGUUGUAUAAACGGCAAAUUUUCAAAAUGUUAUAAGUCAAAAUUUAAUGAUUUGCGCCAAGUUCUAACCACCAGUAUAACCAACCUAACUAUACAAGUAAAAAAAAAACUGCAAAAACAAGGGGUCCGGUAAAGCAGAAAUCUGAAAUAUAGGUACUAAAUUAUUAAUGUGUAAACACUAUAUCAAACUAUUAUCAAUUGGGUAGUCGGAAAAAAGCCCGAAAAAAAAUCUCCGACAUAAAAAUACGGUAAAAAAAACAACGUACCAACAGAAUAUAUAAUGUUAAA